rnacentral:rRNA from 1 species
ACACGACUACAUUAGAAUACCCCGGUAGUCCCAGCCGUAAACUAUGCGCGUUAGGUGUAUCGGUGACCACGAGUUACCGAGGUGCCGAAGGGAAACCGUGAAACGUGCCGCCUGGGAAGUACGGUCGCAAGGCUGAAACUUAAAGGAAUUGGCGGGGAGCACCACAACGGGUGGAGCCUGCGGUUUAAUUGGACUCAACGCCGGGAAGCUCACCGGAUAAGACAGCGGAAUGAUUGCCGGGCUGAAGACUCUGCAUGACUAGCUG